AUUGAACGUUGGCGGCAGGCCUAACACAUGCAAGUCGAGCGGUAGCACAGAGAGCUUGCUCUCGGGUGACGAGCGGCGGACGGGUGAGUAAUGUCUGGGAAACUGCCUGAUGGAGGGGGAUAACUACUGGAAACGGUAGCUAAUACCGCAUAACGUCGCAAGACCAAAGUGGGGGACCUUCGGGCCUCAUGCCAUCAGAUGUGCCCAGAUGGGAUUAGCUGGUAGGUGGGGUAACGGCUCACCUAGGCGACGAUCCCUAGCUGGUCUGAGAGGAUGACCAGCCACACUGGAACUGAGACACGGUCCAGACUCCUACGGGAGGCAGCAGUGGGGAAUAUUGCACAAUGGGCGCAAGCCUGAUGCAGCCAUGCCGCGUGUGUGAAGAAGGCCUUCGGGUUGUAAAGCACUUUCAGCGGGGAGGAAGGCGAUAAGGUUAAUAACCUUGUCGAUUGACGUUACCCGCAGAAGAAGCACCGGCUAACUCCGUGCCAGCAGCCGCGGUAAUACGGAGGGUGCAAGCGUUAAUCGGAAUUACUGGGCGUAAAGCGCACGCAGGCGGUCUGUCAAGUCGGAUGUGAAAUCCCCGGGCUCAACCUGGGAACUGCAUUCGAAACUGGCAGGCUAGAGUCUUGUAGAGGGGGGUAGAAUUCCAGGUGUAGCGGUGAAAUGCGUAGAGAUCUGGAGGAAUACCGGUGGCGAAGGCGGCCCCCUGGACAAAGACUGACGCUCAGGUGCGAAAGCGUGGGGAGCAAACAGGAUUAGAUACCCUGGUAGUCCACGCUGUAAACGAUGUCGAUUUGGAGGUUGUGCCCUUGAGGCGUGGCUUCCGGAGCUAACGCGUUAAAUCGACCGCCUGGGGAGUACGGCCGCAAGGUUAAAACUCAAAUGAAUUGACGGGGGCCCGCACAAGCGGUGGAGCAUGUGGUUUAAUUCGAUGCAACGCGAAGAACCUUACCUGGUCUUGACAUCCACAGAACUUUCCAGAGAUGGAUUGGUGCCUUCGGGAACUGUGAGACAGGUGCUGCAUGGCUGUCGUCAGCUCGUGUUGUGAAAUGUUGGGUUAAGUCCCGCAACGAGCGCAACCCUUAUCCUUUGUUGCCAGCGGUUAGGCCGGGAACUCAAAGGAGACUGCCAGUGAUAAACUGGAGGAAGGUGGGGAUGACGUCAAGUCAUCAUGGCCCUUACGACCAGGGCUACACACGUGCUACAAUGGCAUAUACAAAGAGAAGCGACCUCGCGAGAGCAAGCGGACCUCAUAAAGUAUGUCGUAGUCCGGAUUGGAGUCUGCAACUCGACUCCAUGAAGUCGGAAUCGCUAGUAAUCGUAGAUCAGAAUGCUACGGUGAAUACGUUCCCGGGCCU
rnacentral:rRNA from 1 species